AGUGAACGCUGGCGGCAGGCCUAACACAUGCAAGUCGAGCGGCAGCGCGGGGGCAACCCUGGCGGCGAGCGGCGGACGGGUGAGGAAUUCGUCGGAAUCUGCCUUUUUGUGGGGGAUAACGUAGGGAAACUUACGCUAAUACCGCAUACGUCCUACGGGCGAAAGUGGGGGACCGCAAGGCCUCACGCAGAAAGAUGAGCCGACGACCGAUUAGCUAGUUGGUGGGGUAAAGGCCCACCAAGGCGACGAUCGGUAGCUGGUCUGAGAGGAUGAUCAGCCACACUGGGACUGAGACACGGCCCAGACUCCUACGGGAGGCAGCAGUGGGGAAUAUUGGACAAUGGGCGCAAGCCUGAUCCAGCCAUGCCGCGUGUGUGAAGAAGGCCUUCGGGUUGUAAAGCACUUUUGUCCGGAAAGAAAUCCCUGGAGCUAAUACCUUCGGGGGAUGACGGUACCGGAAGAAUAAGCACCGGCUAACUUCGUG
rnacentral:rRNA from 1 species